AGCAGCGUGGCUCAGUGGAAAGAGCCCGGGCUUGGGAGUCAGAGGUCUUGGGUUCGAAUCCCCGCUCUGCCA
rfam:Ornithorhynchus anatinus chromosome X1, whole genome shotgun sequence.